GUAUCAUGUGGCCAACUAUGUCUUGCAGGGUCGUUCAUCGACCUAGGGAAGGUGAACAGCCCGGGAAUGGCAAUGGCAUCCGCCAUGUUGAACUUACGAAGAUCGUUUGGAGUGUGAGGCUGUCCAGUGGCAGAGCCUUUAAACACGUCCAUAGUUCUUUGAGAGAAUACACACAACACCGUAUCCCCGACAUUCAAUGGGAAGCUGAUAAGGGUGUUAGCUGUUCCCGGCAUAAUGACAGGGACAGAUAGAAUCUCUGGUUGCUCUUCUGAUGUGCCGUCUUUGUACAGGUCAUUGACCACUGGUCUAACAUCGACAGAAAGGCGUCUAAAAUCGUCCAGAACGCGCAAUACCACACAAGGUAUGGCAGUAUACUGUUUCGAGCCUUCCGUGGACGAGUGCAGGUUCAGAAGCUCUUGUAGGCCUGUUCUCCUCAUUGGUCAAUAUCCUCUUGGUUAAGAUCGGAACACCAACAUUCAGUGUACCAUUCGUUGUCUCUGU
rnacentral:sRNA from 1 species